rnacentral:lncRNA from 1 species
GAACUUGCCGAUGCAAAAAAGACAUUCAAUGUACAAGCUAUUUACACAUCUCAACUUCAUUCCACUUAUUUCUCAUUUUAAACCUUCACAACUCUUAUUUCACAACUCAAUUUUUUUCUUUUUCACUAUUUUUCUUCCAAGCAAGCAUUCAUUUUCAUUUUCUUUAUUUUUUUUCUUUUUCUUUUCACAUUGUAUACACAAAAUAGAUGUUUCUCUUUUCUAAUUUUUUUUUAUUCAAUGCUUGCUCGGUUUUUCAAGAGUUGUGGCACUUACCGAUUCUCAUUUUCGUUCUCCCCAACUUAUCUUGUACUC